UGGGAUAUAGUCCAGUGGUAGAACAUUUUCCUCCUGUACUAAAGGUUCUGAGUUUAAUUCCUAGUAUCACAA
rnacentral:tRNA from 1 species